AAUGUACCUGUAAGUAGAAAAAUUAGAGCGCAGAAGGGUUGCGAAUAUAACUCAUUGCAAACAAGUAAACAACCUGUAUUUAACAACCUAUGGGCGUUUCAAACCCGAAUUAGAGUUUAGAUUUCACAGGAAACAGAAAAUUACUAAUUAUGGGAGCAACCAACUCUGGAUGAGAUAGAUGGACGUGGUGUCUACCUUCGACUUCUACGUAACGAAAAUCUUCGCUGGCAUCGCGGUAGAUAUCGUAAAACUCCCGAUAGAGUUCUUUUGGUUCAAACGUUGAAGUGUUUUUAG